rnacentral:rRNA from 1 species
AGUGAACGCUGGCGGUAGGCCUAACACAUGCAAGUCGAACGGCAGCACAGUAAGAGCUUGCUCUUACGGGUGGCGAGUGGCGGACGGGUGAGGAAUACAUCGGAAUCUACUUUUUCGUGGGGGAUAACGUAGGGAAACUUACGCUAAUACCGCAUACGACCUACGGGUGAAAGCAGGGGAUCUUCGGACCUUGCGCGAUUGAAUGAGCCGAUGUGGGAUUAGCUAGUUGGCGGGGUAAAGGCCCACCAAGGCGACGAUCCGUAGCUGGUCUGAGAGGAUGGUCAGCCACACGGGAAGUUAGACACGGUCCAGACGCCUACGGGAGGCAGCAGUGGGGAAUAGUGGACAAUGGGGGCAAGCCUGAUCCAGCCAGACCGCGUGGGUGAAGGAGGCGUUCGGGGUGUAAAGCCCUUUUGUUGGGAAAGAAAAGCAGCAGGUUAAUACCCCGCUGUUCUGACGGUACCCAAAGAAUAAGCACCGGCUAACUUCGUG